AACAGAAGUCAUUUGGAGGUACAGAAUAGACUCUCUUACCUCCACUUUUAAAAAACUAACUCAGAUCAUAUUUUUCACACAAUUUAUAGUCAUAGUACUAGAGUAUAUUAAAUUCUUCAAGUCAAUAUGCGAUACACAUGCUGCUGUGAAGAGAAUGAGUUUUCUGCACGUGUUUGAUAGUGUCACAUUUCAGAGCAAAUAUUAAACUAAGUUGGUCUGCAAUUUCCACAUACUUACCUACAAAUACAAGUAAUGGAUCCCAGGCGUAAUUGCAGUGAACUAAUAACUGUUUACUUACUGAACUUGGAGUGAAACCUUCUGACAGUGCUGCUGAAACACUGCCUGCUUUGGUUUGAAAUUCACCUGGGUUUAGUGAGGCCAUGUGAGGACACAGUGAGAAGAUGGGCAUCUGCAAGCCAGGAAGAGAGGCCUCACCAGAAACAGAGUAUGCUGGCACCGGAAUCUUGGACUUGCCAGUCUCCAAAACAAUGAAAAAUAAAUUUCUGUUGCUUAAGCCAUCCAGUCUGUGGUACUUUGUUAUACUGUCCUGAGCAGACUAAGACAUGUGAUUUGUAUUGUUAGUAUUUUAGGGGCACACUGGAUAAUGCCAGAGAAUGUGGGGUUUAGAAAUAACUUGGAUGUAUAUCCUGGCUUUGCCAGUUGGUAAGUUUGUGACCGUGGGCAAGUAAUGUAACAUUGCCUUUAUCUAAAUGUUCUCAUCUUUAAAAUAAAUUAAAAGUA